rnacentral:rRNA from 2 species
GGGUUGUGAGGUUAAGCGACUAAGCGUACACGGUGGAUGCCUAGGCAGUCAGAGGCGAUGAAGGGCGUGCUAAUCUGCGAAAAGCGUCGGUAAGCUGAUAUGAAGCGUUAUAACCGACGAUACCCGAAUGGGGAAACCCAGUGCAAUACGUUGCACUAUCGUUAGAUGAAUACAUAGUCUAACGAGGCGAACCGGGGGAACUGAAACAUCUAAGUACCCCGAGGAAAAGAAAUCAACCGAGAUUCCCCCAGUAGCGGCGAGCGAACGGGGAGGAGCCCAGAGUCUGAAUCAGUUUGUGUGUUAGUGGAAGCGUCUGGAAAGUCGCACGGUACAGGGUGAUAGUCCCGUACACCAAAAUGCACAGGCUGUGAACUCGAUGAGUAGGGCGGGACACGUGACAUCCUGUCUGAAUAUGGGGGGACCAUCCUCCAAGGCUAAAUACUCCUGACUGACCGAUAGUGAACCAGUACCGUGAGGGAAAGGCGAAAAGAACCCCGGCGAGGGGAGUGAAAUAGAACCUGAAACCGUGUACGUACAAGCAGUGGGAGCACCUUCGUGGUGUGACUGCGUACCUUUUGUAUAAUGGGUCAGCGACUUAUAUUUUGUAGCAAGGUUAACCGAAUAGGGGAGCCGUAGGGAAACCGAGUCUUAACUGGGCGUCUAGUUGCAAGGUAUAGACCCGAAACCCGGUGAUCUAGCCAUGGGCAGGUUGAAGGUUGGGUAACACUAACUGGAGGACCGAACCGACUAAUGUUGAAAAAUUAGCGGAUGACUUGUGGCUGGGGGUGAAAGGCCAAUCAAACCGGGAGAUAGCUGGUUCUCCCCGAAAGCUAUUUAGGUAGCGCCUCGUGAACUCAUCUUCGGGGGUAGAGCACUGUUUCGGCUAGGGGGCCAUCCCGGCUUACCAAACCGAUGCAAACUCCGAAUACCGAAGAAUGUUAUCACGGGAGACACACGGCGGGUGCUAACGUCCGUCGUGAAGAGGGAAACAACCCAGACCGCCAGCUAAGGUCCCAAAGUCAUGGUUAAGUGGGAAACGAUGUGGGAAGGCACAGACAGCCAGGAUGUUGGCUUAGAAGCAGCCAUCAUUUAAAGAAAGCGUAAUAGCUCACUGGUCGAGUCGGCCUGCGCGGAAGAUGUAACGGGGCUAAACCAUGCACCGAAGCUGCGGCAGCGACACUUAGGUGUUGUUGGGUAGGGGAGCGUUCUGUAAGCCGUUGAAGGUGACCUGUGAGGGUUGCUGGAGGUAUCAGAAGUGCGAAUGCUGACAUAAGUAACGAUAAUGCGGGUGAAAAACCCGCACGCCGGAAGACCAAGGGUUCCUGUCCAACGUUAAUCGGGGCAGGGUGAGUCGACCCCUAAGGCGAGGCUGAAAAGCGUAGUCGAUGGGAAACAGGUUAAUAUUCCUGUACUUGGUGUUACUGCGAAGGGGGGACGGAGAAGGCUAGGCUGGCCGGGCGACGGUUGUCCCGGUUUAAGCGUGUAGGGGGAGUGACCAGGUAAAUCCGGUUGCUUAUCAACCCUGAGGCGUGAUGACGAUGCACCACGGUGCAGAAGCAGUUGAUGCCAUGCUUCCAGGAAAAGCCUCUAAGCAUCAGGUAACAUUAAAUCGUACCCCAAACCGACACAGGUGGUCAGGUAGAGAAUACUCAGGCGCUUGAGAGAACUCGGGUGAAGGAACUAGGCAAAAUGGUGCCGUAACUUCGGGAGAAGGCACGCUGGCGUUAGGUGAAAGGACUAGCUCCUGGAGCUGAAGCCAGUCGCAGAUACCAGCUGGCUGCAACUGUUUAAUAAAAACACAGCACUGUGCAAACACGAAAGUGGACGUAUAC